rnacentral:rRNA from 1 species
CGCUAGCGACAGGCCUAACACAUGCAAGUCGAGGGGCAGCACAAGGAGCAAUCUGAGGUGGCGACCGGCGCACGGGUGAGUAACACGUAUGCAACCUGCCUGUAAGCGGGGAAUAACCCGUUGAAAGACGGACUAAUACCGCAUAAUACUAAAUUACUGCAUGGUAAUUUAUUUAAACAUUUAUGGCUUACAGAUGGGCAUGCGCAUGAUUAGCUAGUUGGAGAGGUAACGGCUCCCCAAGGCAACGAUCAUUAGGGGUUCUGAGAGGAAGGUCCCCCCACACUGGUACUGAGACACGGACCAGACUCCUACGGGAGGCAGCAGUGAGGAAUAUUGGUCAAUGGACGAGAGUCUGAACCAGCCAAGUCGCGUGCAGGAAGAAUUGUCCUAUGGAUUGUAAACUGCUUUUGCAGGGGAAUAAAGUGCAUCACGUGUGAUGUUUUGUAUGUACUCUGCGAAUAAGGAUCGGCUAACUCCGUGCCAGCCGCCGC